rnacentral:rRNA from 1 species
AGUGAACGUUGGCGGCGUGGAUUAGGCAUGCAAGUCGAGCGAGAACCGUAGCAAUACGGGGACAGCGGCGAAAGGGACAGUAAUGUGUAGGUACCUACCCCGAGGUCUGGGAUAGCUGCGGGAAACUGCAGGUAAUACCGGAUAAUGUCUUCGGACCAAAGGUGUGAUUCCACCUUGGGAGGGGCCUGCAUCCUAUUAGCUUGUUGGCGGGGUAACGGCCCACCAAGGCGACGAUGGGUAGCGGGUGUGAGAGCACGACCCGCGUCAUUGGGACUGAGACACUGCCCAGACACCUACGGGUGGCUGCAGUCGAGGAUCUUCGGCAAUGGGCGCAAGCCUGACCGAGCGACGCCGCGUGCGGGAUGAAGGCCUUCGGGUUGUAAACCGCUGUCGUAGGGGAGGAAAUGCAGGUGGGUUCUCCCUCCUGUUUGACCUAUCCUAGGAGGAAGUACGGGCUAAGUUCGUGCCAGCCGCCGCGGUAA